rnacentral:lncRNA from 1 species
GGAUCAUCCGGAUGCUGCAGCGGAGGAUCCUCAGGCUAUGGCAUGGGAGGAGGCUACAGUGGUGGGUCUUCAGGAGGCAAGAUCAUAAUUGGAGGUGGAGGUAGUGGGGGAUCAUCUGGAUGCUGCAGUGGAGGAUUCAGCAGUGG